rnacentral:rRNA from 1 species
AUUGAACGCUGGCGGCAUGCUUUACACAUGCAAGUCGAGCGGCAGCGCGGGGCAACCUGGCGGCGAGCGGCGAACGGGUGAGUAAUAGAUAGGAACGUAUCCGGGAGUGGGGGAUAACUAGCCGAAAGGUUAGCUAAUACCGCAUAUUCUCUGCGGAGGAAAGCGGGGGACUCGUAAGGGCCUCGCGCUCGCGGAGUGGCCUAUCUCCGAUUAGCUAGUUGGUGAGGUAAAGGCUCACCAAGGCGACGAUCGGUAGCUGGUCUGAGAGGAUGAUCAGCCACACUGGGACUGAGACACGGCCCAGACUCCUACGGGAGGCAGCAGUGGGGAAUUUUGGACAAUGGGGGCAACCCUGAUCCAGCCAUGCCGCGUGCGGGAAGAAGGCCUUCGGGUUGUAAACCGCUUUUAUUCGGGAAGAAGGAGUUGAGGUUAAUACCCUUGAUGACGGACGGUACUGGAUGAAUAAGCACCGGCUAA